AGCAGUAGCCACGGGAAUACAGAGGGUGCGAGCGUUAAUCGGAUUUACUGGGCGUAAAGCGUGCGUAGGCGGCUUCUUAAGUCGGAUGUGAAAUCACUGAGCUUAACUUAGGAAUUGCAUUCGAUACUGGGAAGCUAGAGUAUGGGAGAGGAUGGUAGAAUUCCAGGUGUAGCGGUGAAAUGCGUAGAGAUCUGGAGGAAUACCGAUGGCGAAGGCAGCCAUCUGGCCUAAUACUGACGCUGAGGUACGAAAGCAUGGGGAGCAAACAGGAUUAGAUACCCCAGUAGUCCCUGUCUCUUAUAC
rnacentral:rRNA from 1 species